rnacentral:rRNA from 1 species
AGCAGCCGCGGUAAUUCCAGCUCCAAUAGCGUAUAUUAAAGUUGUUGCAGUUAAAAAGCUCGUAGUUGAACCUUAGGCCCGUGCGGGCGGUCCGUCCUCGUGGCGAGCACUGUCCGUUGCGGGUCUCACCUUCUGGCGAGCGUAGAUGCCAUUUAUUUGGUGUCUGCGGGAACCAGGACCUUUACCUUGAAAAAAUUAGAGUGCUCAAAGCGGGCUCCGACGCUUGAAUACAUUAGCAUGGAAUAAUGAAAUAGGACGAUGGUUCUAUUUUGUUGGUUUCCGGGACCGUCGUAAUGAUUAAUAGGGAUAGUUGGGGGCAUUCGUAUUCAAUUGUCAGAGGUGAAAUUCUUGGAUUUAUUGAAGACUAACUACUGCGAAAGCAUUUGCCAAGGAUGUUUUCAUUAAUCAAGAACGAAAGUUAGGGGAUCGAAGACGAUCAGAUACCGUCGUAGUCUUAACCAUAAACUAUGCCGACUAGGGAUCGGAUGAUGUUAUUUUUAAUGACUC